rnacentral:rRNA from 1 species
GAUGAACGCUGGCGGUAUGCUUAACACAUGCAAGUCGAACGGUCACUUCGGUGAUAGUGGCGGACGGGUGAGUAACGCGUGAGAAUCUGUCUUCAGGUCGGGGACAACAGUUAGAAAUGACUGCUAAUACCGGAUGUGCCUUUGGGUGAAAGAUUUAUUGCCUGAAAAAGAGCUCGCGUCAGAUUAGCUAGUAGGUGGUGUAAGAGACUACCUAGGCUCCGAUCUGUAGCUGUUCUGAGAGGACGAUCAGCCACACUGGAACUGAGACACGGUCCAGACUCCUACGGGAGGCAGCAGUGGGGAAUUUUCCGCAAUGGGCGAAAGCCUGACGGAGCAAUACCGCGUGAGGGACGAAGGCUUUUGGGUCGUAAACCUCUUUUCUCAAGGAAGAUGAUGACGGUACUUGAGGAAUAAGCAUCGGCUAACUCUGUG